AGUCGAGCGGGCGAGACGUCCAGUUACGUGGCUAAGGCGAGCACAGGAAGACCGAGCGAGAAAGGCAGGGGGUUCACCAAAAUGAGUGUAUGUUGAAUCUGGGACAAAGGACUCUCAUUAUCAUAUUGCGCAUUACGGAGUGCUGCAAAUACAAUGUUUUGCUCAUAUGGAGGAAAGGCCAGUCUGACAGCCUGGAACUACAACUGAACUAAAUAAGCGGCCAAGUUGUCCAAAGUGUAUUAAAGCUAAAGGCUGAGUGUUGUAGAGAUAUACUAGCCCUAUAGACAUUCUGUGUUUGUGGUUUUGGGGUUAAAUUCUACUCAUUCUUCUGUUGCAAAAUGUAUAUUGUCUUGCAUGUAAUUAAAGACAAAUAUUUGAUACCAACAGCUACAAUUUUGUAAUGACAGAAAAUUGUAUUUCAUGUUUUUUUUUUCUUUUCUUCUUUUUCUUUUUGCCUUCUAUAAUAGCUUUGAACCAAAUUUCUAAGCUGUAUUAUAACCAAGGGCACAUUGGGUUCUAUUAUACGCAAAGCUGUACUUGUUCACAUUCCAUCUAAUUACUGUUUUUGUAUUUUAAGAAACUGUCAUGCUAUUCAGAAAUUACAUGGGGGACAUAAAUAGAUAUUUACAUUAUGGUGACGUUUAAAUAACUUGGGGAGAAACUCAUCUUUCAGUUGAAGGGUUUCGUUCCAAAGAGCGCUGUAGACCCCUUUCUUAUUUUUUUUUUUCUUUUUUUCACAUGAUAUACGUUUUUGGAGUGGGCUUUACACAUACGAGGCAUAUCAAUGUUAUAUUAUAAUUUAUAAUUGAUACCAUAGUUAUUGGAAAAUAAAAAUGUUUACAUUAUACGUCCGCUGUUAUACUUUACAAACUCCCUAUAUCCAAAAGUGUUACAAUGGGUCCACAGCAGUUUGGAAUGAAACUCUUGAAUUAUGAUUAACAAUUAUGAUUAAUAACACUUUCACACAUUUAUAAAUGUAUAUACGUCCAACGUUUUUAUUUUAAAUACUCAUUAUGAAUUGAUUUAAUUCUGCUGCACGUAUAAAUGCAAAGAAGAACCUGUUUCAAGUUUUAAAAACAGGUUAUUGUUUUUUUCUUUUUUUUUUUUUAAGGCGCAUUGGAGACCGUUGAGCUCUUUAAGGGCCUGUAAAUAACUUAUUGUAUUCGUUAAUUUAUGUUUUUUGUAUUGUUAAUUAUUGUUAAUUGUUAUUGUUAAUCUGUGGUCCCUAUUAGCAAUAAUUUGUCUCAUCCAUUAACUAAUGCGAUUUUUAAACCUUAAUGCCUGCCUGCUAAACUCUGACGUUGAGAUAAAUACAAAGUAAUAUUAUCGCACUUGAGUCGAGGACAUCACUAAGCUAAUUAAUACAAUCCUUCAUGUUAAUGUUCUUAUACGGCAGCUUUAAAGAAAGAGAAGGAACAGUAAACAAGCACGCGUGUAUUUUCCCACACUGCUUCGAGGAACGUCGUCUACAUUUGAAAAAGAAACAGUCUUUUUGAAGCCGGGGUUUGUUUGCUGGCUGAGCAGCGCUUGUUUGCUCGCCACUGUCCCCCUCACGGUACUCCGGCUCUCUUGGGCGCCGACAGAGAGGUCACUGGCAAUGACCCUUCAGCAGACUGUGGGCGUCUUCCAUUGGUCCGCUCUCCUGUCUGUCAUCCGGACUGACCAGCAGUUUCCCCUGCUGAUUCUUUUUAGCAGCCUUGUGGGAUUGUGGGGUCUUUUAAAUAGCCGCAUCAUAAAAACAGCGGCGAGAUUGAUUAGAUAUUAGCAUGUUCGGAUCCAUUUUUUUCCUCCUCUUCUUCUUUUUUUUCACAAUGUCUGUGCCAAGCCUAGCACCUGUAAAUACUUGCAUAGCGCCAGGGCCGUUAUGCGCAUUUAAGAGCAGGUCAUGCGCCUUGAUAAUGCGCCACUGCUAAUGUGAAACAUUUGGUAUGUAAUUCAGACCAACUUCAUAAUUUUUUUUUUUACUAAUUCAAGUGAAAAAUUUCGGGUGCAUUACAGAAUGGCGAAUUCACAAUAGUAAGUCCACUAUUGAUUAUUCUGCCUUAUUUACUCACAGGGGAGUUUCCCAUGUACAUAUAUCCUGCGCGUACCGAAACUAGUCUAAAUUUUAAAGCCCACGCCCCAUUCUUUCCUCAGUCUAUAUACGCUGUAGUUAUUUCUGUUCGAAGUUGUAAAAAGGACACAAAGGUAAUUACGGAUAUCUCAGAAAACCUGUUAAACUGGAGUUGGUUAGCCGAAAAUUUGCGUUUUGUUGCCACAUCAUAUUUGAAAAAUGCAGCAUUUUGCCAAAUACAAAUGUCAAAUGUUUCUUAAUUACAAUAAAGCAUAGU